AUUGAACGCUGGCGGCAGGCUUAACACAUGCAAGUCGAACGAGCGGCGGACGGGUGAGUAAUGUCUGGGAAACUGCCUGAUGGAGGGGGAUAACUACUGGAAACGGUAGCUAAUACCGCAUACCAUCAGAUGUGCCCAGAUGGUAUUAGCUAGUAGGUGGGGUAAUGGCUCACCUAGGCGACGAUCACUAGCUGGGCUGAGAGGAUGACCAGCCACACUGGAAAUGAGACACGGUCCAGACUCCUACGGGAGGCAGCAGUGGGGAAGAUGGCACAAGUGGCGCAAGCCUGAUGCAGCCAUGCCGCGUGUGUGAAGAAGGCCUUCGGGUUGUAAAGCACUUUCAGCGAGGAGGCGUUACUCGCAGAAGAAGCAACGGCUAAAUCCGUGCCAGCAGCCGCGGUAAUAC
rnacentral:rRNA from 1 species